rnacentral:ncRNA from 1 species
GCCGAGAGGGCGAGGAAUAAAAUACCUUAGGGGAAUAACUCCAGCCUUUCUUUGUUAGGCUUUCGAACCUCUUGGCACCCAAUU